rnacentral:piRNA from 9 species
GCGUUGGUGGUAUAGUGGUGAGCAUAG